UUCUUUACAGUGUAAGACCCCCUUUCGGGGACCCCCAUUCUAGUCUUGAGAGAGAGAGCACACUCAAAAAACAUGAGAAUCC
rnacentral:pre_miRNA from 7 species